rnacentral:tRNA from 1 species
GGAGAAGUACCCAAGUAGGCUGAAGGGGACGGUUUGCUAAACCGUUAGGUCGUAAUUGAGCGGCGCGAGGGUUCGAAUCCCUCCUUCUCCGCCA